AUUAGGGAUCGACCGAUUAUCGGUCUGGCCGAUAUUAUCGGCCGAUAUUUGGUAUUUUCGGCAAUAUCGGUAUCGGCCAAUUCAGAUACCGAUAUUGCCGAUUAUAUAUAACAGGACCGCCGUGCCCAUUACAAGCCCGGCGGUCCUGUGGGGGCCAGCAGCAAGCGCUGACUUACCUUGCAAGCAGCUCCAGCAGCUCCCUGUGUAAAUCUCGC